CCGAGAGGAAACAACGGACCCACCGACCGCUGUCCUCACUCCUCUCUCUCUCUCAGCUCACUCUGCUCACAGCCCAUCCUCCCCACCUCGAUUCCGGCGAGCCCUGGUUGCCGCCCGCUGUCGGCACCACCUUCGGAUGGCGGCGCUCCCCUUCCCACUCUUUCUCAUACUCUGAGCGACCCACUUUCCUGCCUUCGGUCCUCGAAUCGCCACCGCUGCAGCCAUGGGGAUCCCGCGCCUCCGAGCCUUCCCGGUGGACGACGACGCGGACUCCCGCUUGGACCAGUGGCCGUCCACACCUCUGGAUGGAGUUGAUGUGGAUCCGGCGGCAGUUCUCCCGCCAAAGCAACAGCAUGGUGGGCCAGCAGGUCUUGGUGUCGGAUCAGCAGGCGCUGAACGCUUUCCAGGAUGAGCUUCCCAUCCAACUUGGCCGAGCCGCAUUCGACGGAGCAGAUCAACCUGUUGAUGAGGAUCCGGUGCCAGCUCUCGCACCCCAGCAGCAGGCAGGUCAGUCUCGAUUCCGUCCUGUCAUCAUGUGCAUCCAUCCCAUUUAUCACCUGAACAUUAUCAAGUUCAUUUCAUGAGGUGCGUGUUUGGGAUAAGGAUCAGGUUUAAAUCAUUUACUUAUUUGUUUUGCCCUGUUGCUGUGUCAAUUUUAUAUUGCGUUUAGUUUCAUGCUGCUCGGAAUAUGCUUUUAGUGAGAUCUUGAAUAGGAAUGUUUUAGUAAACAUGUAGGCCAGAUAUUUCUUCCAGCAUCUGAUUUGUGGUUUCAAAGGUUAAUUUAGAUUGUACUGAAUAUUGGGAGUGACGAUUCAGUCAAUUGGACUUGGACAUGAUUAAA